GUCAUGGAGGAGUCAUCUUCAGAGUCCCCGUGAUGGCAGCAACACGAGGGCAGCACGCCCGCCCAGGCUGAAUCGGCCCCUGCCGUCUAGGAAAGGGAGAACGGCUGCCGGCGCCGCGGGGCUGUUUCUGCGCACGCGCACUAUGCUGGCCCCGCUUCCUGGUCGCCACACCGCCCUCUGGUUCGCACACAGCACCGGAGAAACCGGAGAAACCGGAGAAACCGGGAACGGCACAUGGGGCACCUCCGUGCUAUUUUUGCAACUUACUGUGAGUCUACAAUCAUUGCAAAAUAAAAUGUUUUAAAAAAGCUCAACAGAAGCCAUGAACAGCAUAUUGGAUAUAACAGAUAGCUAAACUAAUGACUCUAGAAAUUCUCUGAGCACCCAGAAGAAAAGAUAAAGAGGCGAAAAUAAUAAAUAACAAGACAAGAAAAAGGCAAGAACGCAAAAUAUCUGUUGGGUAUUCCUGGAGAUUCCAGAAGGCAAGCGUGAGCAGAGAAGUAAUGAUGGAAGAAAUAAGAGAUGAAAAGUGAUCAAAUAUAGAAAUUAUAUAAGCCAUGUUGUGAUAAUAAUGCAAUAAAACUAAAAUUCAAUAGUACAAGGAAAAACAGGGAAAAAUAAAACCUAUUUCAAACUAAAAGA
rnacentral:lncRNA from 1 species